AUCCCUCUGUGGGCACACCUUCUUCCUGCCGGCCACCUCCAGUAGCCAUGUUGAUGAGGUCAAGGCCCCUCUACCUUCGUUGUGGUUGACGGCUGGGACCCAGAGUUGUGGAAUCGCGUGACGUCGCAGCGCGGCGCCGCCGCGCAGUAGAGUCUGGACUAGAUCAGUUUCUGACGCACAAAUUCAAGGUCGGGGAGGUUGGUUGGGAGGCAUGGAAGAAAGGCCAUCCAAGAACAUAGCAAGAAGACAGUCAUCUCUAAGCCAGGAAUAGAAGUGUUGCCAGAAACCAACCUUGUUGGUGGCACCUUGACUUUAAUCUUCCAGCCUGCAGAACUAUCAAUACCCAGUUGUUCCAGGGAGCCUGGGU